GGGCCCGAACUCACGGGCCAUGAGAUGGUGGCCUGAGCGGAAGUUGGACGCUCAACCGGAUGAGCCAGCACCCAGGCCCCGCAAAUCCUUCGAGUUUCAGGGCCAGCCGUGGUGACGAGCACCUCUGGGCCCGCACCCACGAGGACGGAAAAGGGCUUGGACCCCGGCCCCUCUUCUUUAGGUUAGAAGCCCAGAAGUCCUGGGGGGUGCGGGGGUUGGGGGGGGGGGUACCUGCUGUCCUAACGAAUACCUGGCCACAAAUGAAAGAAGUUGGUGUGGAAAAACAUUGUGAAUUGUAGUCACUCAAGCAUCAGUAAAUCUGCUGGAAGUCAGGGCUGGCUGUUUGUAGCUUGUUUAGAUGUUGACUGUUUACAAAUUGCAUUUUCUCUUUGAAAAAGUGAGCACCUCUCAGGGCUGGGGUGCUUCCUGCCAGGGGAUAAAGGCGGCCUGUCGUUGAUCAAAUUGGUGCAGUUCUUCACUUUGGGGCCCUUUCCCUCCUCUGUUCCCUCUUUCCCUUCCUCCUACGUUUACAAAUCAUUCUUAAACCCAGCCCCCAGGCCCUGGGCUCUGUACAACUUUCUAUUUUCUCAUUAUUUGCAGGUAUCUAGAGGAGGGAAUGCCGACACUGGCUGGUCUCCCCGCCCCUCUCGGGCCCCACUUGCUUGCAAAGGGGCUUCAAGGACCUGAUUUACACACCUCAGCUCAUUUGCAAGGUCAGGAGCCAAAAGCAAGCAGGAGAAAAAAGGCAUACGCCAAAGAAAAGUGACUGAGUCAUUAGACUACCGGAGGGCGUGCAUCCGAAUUCCUCCUUUCACACAGACCCAGAGGACAGGUGACCGUUCCAAAGCCCCACAGUGGCCGGAUACAGCCAGGAAUGGAACCCGGGGCUGCCGACCUCUGUGUGCAAAAUGCCUCACAGGAGCUGCUUUUCGGAGUUAAACACCUCUGUGUUUAAACCCAUCCAUUCGUUUGUUCAUUCAGCAGAUAACGGGCAGCUGGUCCACAGUUGGACCAGCCCUAGACCCACAGAGAUGUAUUUUAGAAAACCAGGGACCCACAGGCACAGGCUUCAGCUCCUUGAAAGACCCACAGGAGAGACCGAACUCUGUGGUUUGCAGCUAAAGCUCCUUCCCGAGACAUCUUCCCUGUGUGGUCCCUGGUAACAGUUGUCCCUCCUCAGACAGGAGCUUGGGGUUGGGCUAGAUGCUAAGGGCAGUAAAUAAGCAACAGAUCUCCUUUACAUCACUCUGGUCCCAGAGUGGAGGCGGAUCCCAGGCAGAACUUCUGACGGGUGGUUUGCAGCCAGAACUGUGCUCAGAGGACCACUCCUCAAGAAAAAGCGAGGACUGAUAGGAGACGUCGCUCCUCGCCGUAACCCCAGGGUCGUGGAGGGUGUCGCAGUUGCGGUGGCCCAGCACCAGGUGAGGAGUCCACUCCUAGGGCUCCUCUGCUGCCCUGUGCUGUGGUCUGCAGGGAUGGCACAAGCUUACUUGGAGGGCAUGAGUUUUCACCGUGCCUACACGUUUAAAUUGUGUUGCAGACAGCGGAAAAAGCAUAAGACAAGCUGUGUACAUUUUCUGGGGCUGCUGUAACAAAUUCUCACAAACUGGGUGUCUUGAAACACCAGAAACUUAUUCUCUCAGGGUUCAGAGACUGAAAACCCAAAAUUAAUGUGGCAGAGGGUCCGUGCGCCCUUUGAAUGCUUUAGGUGGGGAUCCUCCCUCGCCCAUUCCCAGCUUCUAGUGGUUGCUGGCAAUCCUUAGAGUUCCUUGGCUGUUAGACGUGUCACUCUACUCUCUGCCUCUGUCAUCGCAUGGAGUUACGGGCCGAGUUGUGUCCCCUCAAAAUUCAUGUGUUGAAGCCCUACCUCCCAGUACCUCAAAAUGUGAUUAUACUCGGGGACAGAGCCUGUCAAAAGGCCAUCAAGUAACAAUGGGCCAUUAGGGUGAGCUCUGACCCAACAUGACUGGCAAAGGAGAUUAAGCCCCAAAAACAUCACCCAAAGACGACCAUACGAGGGCACAGCAAGAGGGCAGCCAUCUGCAAGCCGAGAAGGGAGGCCUCAGAAGAAACUGCAUCUGCCGACACCUUGAUCUUGGACUUCCAGCUUCCAGAAUUGUGAGAAAACAAACUUCUGUUGUUUAAGCCACCUCAUCUAUGAUAUUUUGCCAUGGCAGCCCUGGCAGAGUAAUACACGUGGCUUCGCCCUCCCUCGUCUGCCUGUCUGCACCUCUUCCUAUAAGGACACUAGUUACACUGGAUUAAGGGCCCUCCUUACUCCAUGAUGAGUAUGACCUCAUCUUAACUACUUACCUUUGUAACAACAUUACUUCCAAAUAAGUCAGGCUCACAGGUUCCUGGAAGGAUAUGAACUUUGAGGAGAACACUAUUCAAUAUAGUGCAAUUUGCCUAAAAGAGUAGCUUGCCUUAACCCACUUUUCGUGAUGACUACUUUUUUAGGGACCACCACGUUCCUCUUCCUCCUGGAGGGAGGCCAAGGGACAACGGACACCAUGCUAGAGAUUUUGCGAAGGACAAGAGGCUAGUAAGAACAGCCCAGGCGUCAACAAGGGCUGGGAGAACCAGUCUGAGAGGUACAGAAAUGUCACACUAUGUCCUCCAACAGCCCAUACCUUACCCACUAGCUGGGAUGGCCCAGGCUGCUUUCUCCAGCUCUGUCCAUCAGGAGCAGCUUUGGAGUCUUGAUAAUUUGUGGUCCUCUACACCUGUGAUCUGUCACUGAUUCCAAUGUUUCCUGGGAGGGGAGGGGAAGGGAAGGGAAUGGAAUAUGAGAUGUGAGGUCGAACAACUAGUUUGAUCCCUUCCCAUCAAAAAAAAGCCAGCUCUUCUCAAGGAUGGUGGGGCUGGGGGGUGGGGGUGGUUUAGGCAGGCGUCUCUCGUGCCUAUUUGUUAGAAAGAAGGAGACUUUGGUGGUCCUCAGUCUCGGCCACCUAGAGUGGAAUCACCUGGAGAUCUUUGACAAAUACUGAUUCCUGGAUUCCCCCAGAGAUGUUGAUUGAAUUGGUCUGGGACAGGUCUGGGCAUUAGGAUAUCUAGAAGGUCCCUAGGUCAUUCCAAUGUGCAACCCUGGCUAAGCAAUAACGGCUAUAACAUGUCCAGAGCCCUGAGGUACCGAGUAAAUGGAAUCGAGGUGAACUUUAGAUCAUGCACUCCAACUCCCUGACAAAAGAGACCAGGAAACCAGUAACUGAUUGCCCAAGCACAGAAUCCAGGGAGCCGAGAUGAAAACCUACAGUUGGCUGAGGCUCCCAGCAGCCACUGGCCUCUCCCAAAGUUUUCAUUUCCUUGCUGCAAAUUAACAUAUUUAAUGAUCUCAGUCCAUCCUGCUGAUCUGCAUUUUAAUGAGGUCUGCAGGCUUUUAUUGACCUGGUAUUCCUUACCCAGAUAACUCUUUUCAUCUACAUUUGAAUGUGGGCAUCAACCUCCCUAUUGCUUUGGUACCUAAUCUAAUUGGCUUCACGUGGAGAAAAGCCACACAACAGAGCCCUAGCCACCUUCAGCGUGGGUUGUCAUCAGUCACCGGGAAGCCCAGGUAAGAACACAGGCCUGGUUUUCAGCAAACUACCCUAGUCCGCAGACAUCCAUGAAAGGCCCACAUUCUCUGCACGACCUCCAGUGGCAAUCUGUUUAUGAGUUAUAGGCUCAGCUAGCUAAUUGUUUCUAACAAUUACAGCCAUCCGAUGCCUCAUUUUUCCCAUCCAGACUUUUCAACUUGUCUACUUUACCUCUACAGACUGAAGAGUUGUGAUUUGCUUUCGUAUGCUCAUAACCUGUUGAUUCAGGUCCCUUGUGUUGGCUUAGUAUUGGAGAGCAGGAAAAUGGGAAGAAAAAUUAAAUAGAUCGUGUUCAAUUCAGUGGGGAUGAAGUCAAGGGUCAGCUUUGUUGAAACUGGGAAAGAAAAGAGGCCUUUGUGUCUCCUAAGGAAGGUCUUUAUAAUAAAACAAGUUUGCAAAGUGUAUUUUUUUCUUA